rnacentral:tRNA from 1 species
AAUUGAGGCGGUGGUUUGUAAUUCCAUUUAUGGGGUGGUAAACUCCUCUUAUCA